UAAUACGAAGGGGGCUAGCGUUGCUCGGAAUCACUGGGCGUAAAGCGCACGUAGGCGGAUCCUUAAGUCAGAGGUGAAAUCCCAAGGCUCAACCUUGGAACGGCCUUUGAUACUGGGGAUCUCGAGUCCGGAAGAGGUUGGUGGAACUGCGAGUGUAGAGGUGAAAUUCGUAGAUAUUCGCAAGAACACCAGUGGCGAAGGCGGCCAACUGGUCCGGCACUGACGCUGAGGUGCGAAAGCGUGGGGAGCAAACAGG
rnacentral:rRNA from 1 species